rfam:Oryza glumipatula chromosome 7, whole genome shotgun sequence.
AAAAAGACAAACCCUAGGUUUCCGUAUCCAACGUUUAACUGUCCGUGUUAUAUGAAAUUUUUUUAUAAUUAGUAUUUUCAUUGUUGUUAGAUGAUAAAACAUGAUUAAUACUUUAUGUGUGAUUUGUCUUUUUAAUUUUUUUUUAUAAUUUUUUCAAAUAAGACGGACAGUUAAACGUUGGAUAUGGAAACUUAGGAUUUGUCUUUUU